UCCCUGGAGAACUAGCGGUUAGGCCACAGCGCUCUCACCGCUGCGGUCCGGGUUCGAUUCCCGGCCAGGGAA
rnacentral:tRNA from 1 species